AAGGGUAAAAUUGAGCUUUUUUGAGUUAUAUUAAAUUAUUAAUCGAAGCUACAGAAUCUCGAUUAUAAACUAGGAUUAGAUACCCUAUUAUUUCGGGAGGUACUUUUUGAAACAAAUUACUAAAAGAUAAAUACUUUAAAAUUAAAAAAUUUGGCGGUGGUUUAAUCUUAUUAGAGGAACUUGUCUCAUUAUCGAUAAUCCACGAAUAAUCUUACUUUAGUAUGUAUACCUUCAUUAUCAGGUGAUUCUAAAAAGAAUAAUUUCUGUAGUUUAUUAUUUAUAUAAAUUAGAUCAAGGUGCAGCUUAUAAGAAAGUCGAGAUGAGUUACAAUAAAUUAUUUUAUUACGGAUUAAUAGUUAUGAAGGAGGAUUUAAUUGUAUUAAAGUUUAAUAAGCUAAAAAGAAAUAAGCUCUAAAUCAUGUACAUAUCGCCCGUCGCUUCC
rnacentral:rRNA from 1 species